GCAGCUAUAAUGCAGUCGAGCGACAGACGAGGAGCUUGCUCCUCUGACGUUAGCGGCGGACGGGUGAGUAACACGUGGAUAACCUACCUAUAAGACUGGGAUAACUUCGGGAAACCGGAGCUAAUACCGGAUAAUAUAUUGAACCGCAUGGUUCAAUAGUGAAAGACGGUUUUGCUGUCACUUAUAGAUGGAUCCGCGCCGCAUUAGCUAGUUGGUAAGGUAACGGCUUACCAAGGCAACGAUGCGUAGCCGACCUGAGAGGGUGAUCGGCCACACUGGAACUGAGACACGGUCCAGACUCCUACGGGAGGCAGCAGUAGGGAAUCUUCCGCAAUGGGCGAAAGCCUGACGGAGCAACGCCGCGUGAGUGAUGAAGGUCUUCGGAUCGUAAAACUCUGUUAUUAGGGAAGAACAAAUGUGUAAGUAACUAUGCACGUCUUGACGGUACCUAAUCAGAAAGCCACGGCUAACUACGUGCCAGCAGCCGCGGUAAUACGUAGGUGGCAAGCGUUAUCCGGAAUUAUUGGGCGUAAAGCGCGCGUAGGCGGUUUUUUAAGUCUGAUGUGAAAGCCCACGGCUCAACCGUGGAGGGUCAUUGGAAACUGGAAAACUUGAGUGCAGAAGAGGAAAGUGGAAUUCCAUGUGUAGCGGUGAAAUGCGCAGAGAUAUGGAGGAACACCAGUGGCGAAGGCGACUUUCUGGUCUGUAACUGACGCUGAUGUGCGAAAGCGUGGGGAUCAAACAGGAUUAGAUACCCUGGUAGUCCACGCCGUAAACGAUGAGUGCUAAGUGUUAGGGGGUUUCCGCCCCUUAGUGCUGCAGCUAACGCAUUAAGCACUCC
rnacentral:rRNA from 1 species